GUAAAUUUAAGUUAUAAGAAACUGUAAGAUUCAUGGUCUUAAUAAACUCUCAUUGGUAAUUUAUA
rnacentral:tRNA from 1 species